rnacentral:rRNA from 1 species
CACAUGCAAGUCGAGGGGAAACGACAUCGAAAGCUUGCCUUUGAUGGGCGUCGACCGGCGCACGGGUGAGUAACGCGUAUCCAACCUGCCCACCACUUGGGGAUAACCUUGCGAAAGUAAGACUAAUACCCAAUGACGUCUCUAGAAGACAUCUGAAAGAGAUUAAAGAUUUAUCGGUGAUGGAUGGGGAUGCGUCUGAUUAGCUUGUUGGCGGGGUAACGGCCCACCAAGGCAACGAUCAGUAGGGGUUCUGAGAGGAAGGUCCCCCACAUUGGAACUGAGACACGGUCCAAACUCCUACGGGAGGCAGCAGUGAGGAAUAUUGGUCAAUGGACGAGAGUCUGAACCAGCCAAGUAGCGUGCAGGAUGACGGCCCUAUGGGUUGUAAACUGCUUUUAUAAGGGAAUAAAGUGAGUCUCGUGAGACUUUUUGCAUGUACCUUAUGAAUAAGGACCGGCUAAUUCCGUGCCAG